GCUCACUAAGCCAUCAGAACAUGCCACUGGGCUCUGACGAUGGCGUGAUUUAGGGAGUAAGCAUUUCUUUCCGCUCUAUGUUUGCCCUGUCUUUUGGGGACUAGAAGAGAUUGUUGUCCAUCUGCUGACAAGCCCCAAAACUGUGUGUGUGUGUGUGUGUGAGUGUGUGAGUGUGAGUGUGUGUGUGGUGUGGCUGGGGGAAGGGGGUCUGGAUGAGGUGGUUACUUUUAUGUUGUUACCCUUCAUUUAUUUUCUUUCAAACAAAAGCUACCCCAUUUCACAGGUGGAAACACUGAGUCCUGGUGGAUGGAAACGAUGUUCUCCAAGGUAACUCAACCAGACAGACUUAACUACAAAUGCCAUGCUGUCCUCUCAAGAAACCAUUCCAUUUAGUGAAAACGAGACCGGUUAUGCAAUGAGUUUGAGGCUAAUUUUAAAGCAAGUCAUGUGUCCUUCCCGUUGCUCUGACCCAAAUACGAGACAGGGACUCAAAGUUGCACACAAAGAAUACCCAAAACAAUCAGGACACUCGACAUGAGCCAUCUGGUUGAUGACGGGAAUGCAAGCGUCAUUUUUCAGCCACCGCAAGGCUCCGGCACUGGGGACUCGUUCAGCGUUCCAGUUAGGACACCGCCCGGAGACUGUGCCAGAGACCGGCCCCAGGUCGCUAGUUCUGUCUGCAGCCAGAUUUCUAGAGCAGUAAAGAGAAGCUAACCUAACCUCUCUCACAAAGGUGGCUUUGUGCUGUGCUGACCAACAGCAGUUAAUAGGGAUUUGAAGCCAGGGCCGGGGGCUUUCUCCUGAGGGCUGACGGGAGGGGAAGGACAGAGUCCUUAAGGGGCAGACACGCGUGAGCGCAGACAGAAGGUGUGGCCUGAUGCAAUGAAAGUCUACGCUGAUCCCGCCUUUCUGAACCCCUUCUCCUGUCCAGGUCUGCAGCGCGCCGUCACUGGGCCCGGGCCCUAGGGCUUCCCUCUUCUCUCACGUCUCUCAACCAAAACCCGCUCCCGGGAAAGAAGACGAGAAAUUCAUCCGCAUCAAGGAGAACGGACAAAUUUAUCUUCCUGGGAGCGUCCCGGAAAAAUAAUGGGUCUCUGGGCAGUUUCAGAUACCAGAGAGAGAGCCAGGAAGAAGAUAUGUGAGAUCUAUGCAUGGAACCACGGAACUUUCUGUCUGGCUAGCAGGGGAGGCUAACAAACAGAACUUCAUGUGGAUGUUUUGAAACAAGAAAGCAGGCUGAGAGUUGGCUGAGCAGAACUGCAAACCAGUUUUCCCCACUCUCAGUGUGGAGAUGACCAAGAGUCUGUCGUGGAAGAGAGAUUCAGAGCCAGGCCGGCUGCGAACUGAUACUGCCAGAUGGCAGAGCCGUCAAAAUAUUUAGCUGUGAAGCCCACACUGUGUUCGGGAAGAGGCUGAACUCACCUUCCUGCCGCAGACCCUGGUGGGCUCCCGUCUGUGGGUGCCGCCUGCCUCCUCAGCCGGCCGCUUCGGUGACUCACUGAGUGGCUCACUGAGUGACUCACUGAGUGACUCAGGCUGGGCUCCGGUGGUUCAUCCCUGGCAGGGAUUUAUCCAGCUGAACCAGCUUCCUCUCCCGCCUUCUAGUAAAAGAUAUCCUGUGUCGAAAACGGAGUCUUGACUGUACUUCUGUGAGAACGGCCCUACCUUGCUUCCGGGGAAUGUGGGGUUUUCUGGACCCAAUAACACACAGAAAAGCAAUAUUGCUCUCCAUGUUAUAGAGGGGAAACAUUGUGAGAAGACGGGCUUGCCCAGGUUCCGAGUGCUGGCGGGUGCACUUGAACGCCCGAGUCUUUUCUAUCACACUGAGGGUGGUGAGUCCAUUUGAAGAUUCCUUAAUGACGUGUGCAAGAUUGCAUAACUACUUGCUGCCCUCUGAAACCGAAACGUUCUUUUUCUAUAAAAUCAUGGUUUAGAAACCAAGAGCAGAAUCUACAAGGGAGAAGUUGUUUCCCCCCAUGUUUUGAAAAACAUUCAUUUCAGAUAAUGAAUCCCUGGGCAAUGGACUGGUUGAUUCUUUCAAAAGAAUUUAAUGACCCCUCCAUUAUACAAAUAAGAAACGUUUAUUGCAGAAACUUUGGAAAAGUUAGAAAAAAACAAAGGGGAAAAUAAAAAUCACCCGUCAUUCUCCUAGUUAGAUAUAAUUGUUGUUAUUUUGAUGUGUGGCCAGCCCUGGUGGUCUGGGUUAAGAUGUGGCGCUCUCACUGCACGGACCAGGUUUGUCUCCCAUCAGGGACCACACCACCCAUCAGUCGUUGUCACACUGCGGCAGCUGUGUGUUGCUGAAAGCUCUGCCACCGGGAUUUCAAAUACCAGCAGGGUCACCCAUGGUGGACAGGCUUCAGUAGAGCUUCCAGACUCCGACAGACUAGGAAGAAGGAGCUGGCCACGCACUUCCAAAAAUUUUGACCAUGAAAACCCUGUGAAUAGCAGCAGAGCAUUGUCUGAUGCAGUGCCGGAAGGUGAGAGGAUGGCGCAGAAACACCCGGCAGGGUUCCGCUCUGCUGUACGCAGGGCCGCUAGGAGUCGGAAUCCAUUCCACGGCACAAACGACAAAAAUUUUAAUAUGUAUCCUUCCUUUUUUCAUACACGUGACCAUAUUUUAACAAAUUGGAAAAAAUGUGCUAUAAACUGAUGAAUGAUACUUCCAUGAGCGUUUUCUCACAUCAAUUUCUUUCCAAGCGUCUUUGAUCCAUAGCACACCCUCUAUCCUACGGAUGAUGUAUUUAAUUUACUCCACCUCUUGAGACUUUUAGGCUGUUACCAUUUUUUUUUAUUAUAAACACCACCACAACAGGCUUGCUUGGUCUUAUAAAUAUUUAGUGAGGUUUCCACCCAGCCAUUUGUAUGGGCUUUGGUUUGAGAAAAACUGAAAAUGGAAGAACAGAGAAGGUUAAUAGACAUUGGUUUGAUUUUUGUCUGGCAGAGAAGGGAGAGAAGGAAGGGCAGCCAUCUCAAGUGUCCCCUCUGUAAAGGUCAUUUCCGUCCCCCGGGCUCUUAAUUCUGUUCCUCUGACUUGACUCCGGUGCGCUUUACCAUCUCCGUCUCCCCACAGCUCCUCACCUUCUCGCCACCCUGUCACAAUCUCUGUUUGCCCUCGUCACACUCUGGGGGCUCUCCUCAGGGCCUCCCUGGUCUUGCCCGCUGUUGAUGAAGGUUUUCUGUGUCUCGACUCAG
rnacentral:lncRNA from 1 species